rnacentral:rRNA from 1 species
UGAUAGGGUAACGCCUACAAGUCAGUGAUCUUAGGGCUGAGAGGGUGAUUCCCCCAACCUGUUACUGAGACCGGACAGAUCUACGGAGCAGCAGUGAGAAUAUGGACAAUGGGUGCAAGCUGAUCAGCAUCCGGCUGGAAGGACGACGGCCUAUGGGUGUAAACUCUUUUGUAUAGGGAUAAACCUUUCCACGUGUGGAAAGCUGAAGGUACUAUACGAAUAAGCACCGGCUAACUCCGUGCCAGCAGCCGCGGUAAUACGGAGGGUGCAAGCGUUAUCCGGAUUUAUUGGGUUUAAAGGGUCCGUAGGCGGAUCUGUAAGUCAGUGGUGAAAUCUCACAGCUUAACUGUGAAACUGCCAUUGAUACUGCAGGUCUUGAGUAAGGUAGAAGUGGCUGGAAUAAGUAGUGUAGCGGUGAAAUGCAUAGAUAUUACUUAGAACACCAAUUGCGAAGGCAGGUCACUAUGUCUUAACUGACGCUGAUGGACGAAAGCGUGGGGAGCGAACAGGAUUAGAUACCCUGGUAGUCCACGCCGUAAACGAUGCUAACUCGUUUUUGGGUUUUCGGAUUCAGAGACUAAGCGAAAGUGAUAAGUUAGCCACCUGGGGAGUACGUUCGCAAGAAUGAAACUCAAAGGAAUUGACGGGGGCCCGCACAAGCGGUGGAUUAUGUGGUUUAAUUCGAUGAUACGCGAGGAACCUUACCAAGACUUAAAUGGGAAUUGAUCGGUUUAGAAAUAGACCUUCCUUCGGGCAAUUUUCAAGGUGCUGCAUGGUUGUCGUCAGCUCGUGCCGUGAGGUGUUAGGUUAAGUCCUGCAACGAGCGCAACCCCUGUCACUAGUUGCCAUCAUUCAGUUGGGGACUCUAGUGAGACUGCCUACGCAAGUAGAGAGGAAGGUGGGGAUGACGUCAAAUCAUCACGGCCCUUACGUCUUGGGCCACACACGUAAUACAAUGGCCGGUACAGAGGGCAGCUACCAGGUGACUGGAUGCAAAUCUCGAAAGCCGGUCUCAGUUCGGAUUGGAGUCUGCAACUCGACUCUAUGAAGCUGGAAUCGCUAGUAAUCGCGCAUCAGCCAUGGCGCGGUGAAUACGUUCCCGGGCCUUGUACACACCGCCCGUCAAGCCAUGGAAGUCUGGGGUACCUGAAGUCGGUGACCGUAACAGAGCUCCUGGGACAGCCCUA